GCCCUGAUGGUGUAGUGGCCUAUCAUGCAGCCCUGUCGAGGCUGCGACCCGGGUUCAAAUCCCCGGGCGGGGCGCCA
rnacentral:tRNA from 1 species